CCAGGCAGAUCCCCGACGACCCAGAGCCCGUCGUUGGCAGCGUUUAGGGACAGUCCCUCUGGCUGGAAGCAGACCAGGCGAGGUAGAAGGGGCCAGGCAGCUCCAGAGGGACACAAGGCAGGAGCGAGUUCAGUACAGGCUGGACAACCUGCUGACCACCUUGGCCCGGAGCUCCACUACACUGCAGGGUGUAGCACGCCUUCCGCGGUUUAACGACGGUGGUUCUAGAAUUCCUAACAGAUUUAUUUCUAAGGAGGGCAACCACCGUGGUAGCCAUCAGGUAAUUGGAAGCGCUACAGCACAACGAAGAGUUUUGGCAGUUUAACACCUUCCAGUACUGGAGAAAUCCUUUACCACCUAUUGAUCUGGCAGACAUUGAAGAUGUAAAUGAAGAAGCAACACUUCAGGGCAAGAAUGAAGUGGGUGAAACUGACAUGGAGUCCUGACAUAAGCAGCUAAAGAAAUGGGACUCCCUGAAUUCGAGGAGACAUCUCUAAGUGAAUUCCUGUAUUCUUAAGGGAAAAGUUACUUUCCACACUUGCUGUGAAUCAUUUCCGAACCUGAAAAAUGAGGAAAGAUUGUUUUGAAGAUAAAUGUCUGCUGUUACUUUGAACCUCCCAGUAGGGACUUGGUCAAGAUUUUAGUGCAGUUGUAGAAGUAUUUCAUAUACACAUUCUUUAAAAAGUUUUGUUUAGAGUCUCAAUUUGAAGAUACUGAUCUUAUAAAAAGCUAUUCUGGAGGUUUUAGGAGUUGAUGGGAAACACGCAAAUGAGCCACGUUGACUGCACCAAAAAGUUUAUUUGUGAUACCUAAAAUGAAUAUUGUUUCAUAAUAACUAUUACUAAUAAAAUAUUUUCAAAUACA